AUGAACGCUAGCGACAGGCCUAACACAUGCAAGUCGAGGGGCAUCGGGGUGUAGCAAUACGCUGCCGGCGACCGGCGGAUGGGUGAGUAACGCGUAUGCAACCUGCCUUCAGCAGGGGGAUAGCCCGUUGAAAGACGGAUUAAUACCCCAUAACACAGGGGCUCCGCAUGGAGAUUAUUGUUAAAGGGAUACUUCCUUCGGGGGGUAUUCCGGCUGAAGAUGGGCAUGCGUUCCAUUAGGUAGUUGGUUGAGGUAACGGCUCACCAAGCCUGCGAUGGAUAGGGGAACUGAGAGGUUGGUCCCCCACACUGGUACUGAGACACGGACCAGACUCCUACGGGAGGCAGCAGUGAGGAAUCUUGGUCAAUGGACGGAAGUCUGAACCAGCCAUGUCGCGUGAGGGAGGACGGCCCUAAGGGUUGUAAACUUCUUUUGCAGGGGAAUAAAGUAUUCCACGAGAUGGGAUAUUGCAAGUACGCUGCGAAUAAGGAUCGGCUAACUCCGUG
rnacentral:rRNA from 1 species